rnacentral:piRNA from 1 species
UGCUGUGCUGACAUAUGUUCUGUCUAUUC